GGGGGAUGGAGACAGGAGAACUGGUCAAAAGCUUGCCUGCCAGAGAACUGGGCAACAGAAGAGAGAUCCUGCCUCAGUAUGGUGGAGAUUGAAUCCAGGUGUCAAGCAUGUGAGAAAAAUGCUCUACUCUCCAGUUACACACCAGACUCUUCCAUCUCCAUGAGAGGUUCUUGGAAGGGACAAGAAGUUGAAGGCUCCUGAAGUCUAAUACGCUGGCGAUUCUCCCGACACUCAUGCUGUGCUCUCCAUGUUGUGUCAAGGACAGUGCCAAUACCUGGCCAUGAGGAUGUUCUCUGGUAGUGGUGGUGGUGGUGGUGGUGGUGGUGUGUGUGUGUCUGAUCAACUCUCCUGGAACUGACGUUACAGGUGAUCAUGAGGCACCUGGUGUGGAUGUUGGGACCCAAACCCAGGGCCUCAGCAAGAACUGGGUCUCUUUCUUUCUUUUUUUCCACUUAUUUUGAGUGUAUGGUGUUUUGUCUUCAUGUAUGUCUCUGUAGCAUGUGUGUAUAGUGCCCAUGUAGCCAAUAGGGGUCGUUGGAUGCCCUGGGACUGGAGUUACAGCUUCCAUGUGGGUGUGGAGACUUCUGCAAGAACAACCAGUGCUCUUAACCACUGGGCCAACUCUCCAGCCCGUUUUUGUUUUGUUUAGUUUAGUUUUGAGACAGGCUGGCCAUGAGCUCUUUAGCCUUGAGUUCCCAGUCCCCAAGGACUGACUUACAGAUGUGCAUCUCCAUGCCCAGCCCAUUUUCUUUUAGAAAUUCCCUAAGCUCAAAUCUUACACGUAGGUCCACCCAUCAUUUAAAACAAAAUUUCCUUAACAUAUAUAAAAUGCACAUAACUCCCAUGGUAAUCUUUUCAACUGUGCGGCAUCCUGGCCAUCAGCGUAUUCACCGUGUUGCUCAACUGUCCCCGCCAUCCGCCCACAGAACUUUCCGUCUUGCAAAACUGAAACUCUGCUCCCAGAGAAAGCAUCAAGACUUCCCACUCCCCUCCCAGCCCCUGGAAACCACUACUCUCCGUCUUGGCUUCUAUGCUGCCUGUCAGGAUUUAGUUAAGAGGUUCCACGUUGGGCUGGAGAGAUGGCUCAGUGCUUAAGAGCAGCGACUGCUCUACUGAAGG